UAGAUCAAUUUGACUUGGCAUACUACGUCAAAUAUUAUUAAAUUUUAGAAAAAUCUUCAAAUACCACCCAAUAGUUUCGCACUUAUUUUACUUUAGAACCCUAUAGUUUAAAAUAUAUUAUUUUUGUACCACGUGGUUUCACUUUUAUCUUGCCGUUAUUCCUCCGUUAAUUAUUUUGUUAAAUUAUUGACAAAGUUAAAAUAAAGGGGUACUAAAGUAAAAUUUGGUAAAUCACAUGAUACUAAAAUGAAUAUUUGAUAAACCGCAUGUGUUUUGUAUAUGAUUAAACGAAAAGUUAAUAGAGGCUCCGGCGAAAAGAAAAAAAUAAAAUUGCUGGGUAUUAAAGUGAUUCACUUUAAACUACAGCAUACUAAAAUGAGAAAAUGCAAAACCAUAAGGGUGGUAUUUAAAGUUUACCUUAAAUUUUAUAACUCUAUAAUAAUAUUAUUAUAAUAUUAUUAAUAAUUAAUUAAUUAAUUAAUUAUAUUUUAUAAAAAAAUUAAAGUUAGUAAAUUUAGUAAAAUAUUAUUGAAUUUGUUUUUUUUUUUAAAUUUUAGACUAAAGUUAUUUAAUUUUAAAAAAUUAGAAGUUGGGGGGCCUUAAUAAAAAGAAUACUCGAGGCUACUCAGCUACAGGUUAUUUCAAGGGAAAAUUUCCUCACUACCCUUCCAAAUAGCUCUAAUAUCAUAAAUACCCUUUAAACUUUUGAAAUUUCAUAUUUGCCCUCAAAAAACAUAAAAAUUUUCAAAUAUG
rnacentral:lncRNA from 1 species